rnacentral:rRNA from 1 species
CCCUUAGAUGUUCUGGGCGGCACGCGCGCUACACUGAUGCGUUCAGCGAGUUUACAACCUUGGCCGGCAGGUCUGGGUAAUCUUUUGAAAGCGCAUCGUGAUUGGGAUAGAUGAUUGCAAUUAUUCAUCUUGAACGAGGAAUGCCUAGUAAUCGCAAGUCAUCAGCUUGCAAUGAUUACGUCCCUGCCCUUUGUACACACCGCCCGUCGCUCCUACCGAUUGAAUGAUCCGGUGAAUUCUCAGGACUGGCUGCGUUACCGGGAAACCGGUGCGUUUGCCGGGAAUUUGCGUAAACCUUAUCAUUUAGAGGAAGGAGAAGUCGUGACA